ACUUGAUGGGUGGGGAUGUCUGGACGAUUUCCCGCUUAAAACUCCGGUGCCUUAGGAUGAGUCUGCGGCUGAUUAGGUAGUUGGCGGUGUAACGGACCACCAAGCCCCAGAUCAGUACGGGCGUUGAGAGACGGAGCCCGGAGAUGGGGGCUGAGAUACGGCCCCAGACCCUACGGGGUGCAGCAGGCGCGAAAACUCCGCAAUACACGAAAGUGUGACGGGGGAACUCCAAGUGCUGCAGCAUUAGCUGUAGCUUUUGUUUAGCUUAAACAACUAUUCGAAUAAGGGCGGGGUAAGACCGGUGCCAGCCGCCGCGGUAACACCGGCCGCUCGAGUGGUGACCAUUUUUAUUGGGCCUAAAGCGUCCGUAGCCUGUCGAGUAAGUCCUUGGGUAAAUCCUGACGCUCAACGUUAGGAAUUCUAGGGAUACUGCUUGACUUGAGACCGAGAGAAGUCAGAGGUACUCUUGGGGUAGCGGUGAAAUGCUGUAAUCCUGAGGGGACCACCAGUGGCGAAGGCGUCUGACUAGAGCGGGUCUGACGGUGAGGGACGAAAGCCAGGGUCGCGAACGGGAUUAGAUACCCCGGUAGUCCUGGCUGUAAACGCUGUGCGCUAGGUGUUGCAUGCUCUACGGGGGCAUGCAGUGCCGA
rnacentral:rRNA from 1 species